CAGCCGUGCGGAGCUUACACAUGCAGUCGAGCGGAACGAUACCAGCUUGCUGGUAGGCGUCGAGCGGCGGACGGGUGAGUAAUACUUAGGAAUCUACCUAGUAGUGGGGGAUAGCUCGGGGAAACUCGAAUUAAUACCGCAUACGACCUACGGGAGAAAGGGGGCAGUUUACUGCUCUCGCUAUUAGAUGAGCCUAAGUCGGAUUAGCUAGAUGGUGGGGUAAAGGCCUACCAUGGCGACGAUCUGUAGCUGGUCUGAGAGGAUGAUCAGCCACACCGGGACUGAGACACGGCCCGGACUCCUACGGGAGGCAGCAGUGGGGAAUAUUGGACAAUGGGGGAAACCCUGAUCCAGCCAUGCCGCGUGUGUGAAGAAGGCCUUUUGGUUGUAAAGCACUUUAAGCAGUGAAGAAGACUCCUCGGUUAAUACCCGUGGACGAUGACAUUAGCUGCAGAAUAAGCACCGGCUAACUCUGUGCCAGCAGCCGCGGUAAUACAGAGGGUGCAAGCGUUAAUCGGAAUUACUGGGCGUAAAGCGAGCGUAGGUGGCUUGAUAAGUCAGAUGUGAAAUCCCCGGGCUUAACCUGGGAACUGCAUCUGAAACUGUUGGGCUAGAGUAGGUGAGAGGAAGGUAGAAUUCCAGGUGUAGCGGUGAAAUGCGUAGAGAUCUGGAGGAAUACCGAUGGCGAAGGCAGCCUUCUGGCAUCAUGCUGACACUGAGGCUCGAAAGCGUGGGUAGCAAACAGGAUUAGAUACCCUGAUAGUCCACGCCGUAAACGAUGUCUACUAGUCGUUGGGUCCCUUGAGGACUUAAUGACGCAGCUAACGCAAUAAGUAGACCGCCUGGGGAGUACGGCCGCAAGGCUAAAACUCAAUGAAUUGACGGGGGCCCGCACAAGCGGUGGAGCAUGUGGUUUAUUCGAUGCAACGCGAAGACCUUACCUGGUCUUGACAUAUCUAGAAUCCUGCAGAGAUGCGGGAGGGCCUACGGUA
rnacentral:rRNA from 1 species